CACGUAGGGCGCAAGCGUUGUCCGGAAUUAUUGGGCGUAAAGAGCUCGUAGGCGGUCUGUUGCGUCCGCUGUGAAAACUCGGGGCUUAACCCCGAGCCUGCAGUGGAUACGGGCAGACUAGAGGUAGGUAGGGGAGAAUGGAAUUCCCGGUGUAGCGGUGAAAUGCGCAGAUAUCGGGAGGAAUACCGGUGGCGAAGGCGGCAUCCUGGACCAUUACUGACGCUGAGGCGCGAAAGCUAGGGGAGCAAACGGG
rnacentral:rRNA from 1 species